rnacentral:rRNA from 1 species
GACGAACGCUGGCGGCGUGCCUAAUACGUGCAAGUCGAACGAACAGACGCGGAGCUUGCUCCUCUCACGUUAGCCGCGGACGGGUGAGUAACACGUGUAUAACCUACCUAUAAGUCUGGUAAAACCUCGGGACACCGGAGCUUAUACCGUAUAAGCUAUUGAACCGUAUGGUUCAAUAGUGAAAUACGGCUUUGCUGUCACUACUAGCUGGAUCCGGGCCGCAUUAGCUAGUUGGUACGGUAACGGCCUAGUAAGGCAACGAUGCCUAGCCGAGCUGAGAGAGUGAUAGCCCACACUGGAGCUGAGACACGGUCCAGGCUCCUACGAGAGGCAGCAGUAGGGAAUCUUCCGCAGUGGUCGAAAGCAUGACGGAGCGGCGCCGCGUGAGUUGUGGCAGUCUUCGGAUCGUGAUGCUCUGUUAUUAGGGGAGAACCAAUUUGUAAGUAACUAUGCACGUCUUGACGGUACCUAGUCAGAAAGCCACGGCUAACUACGUG